UCGUCCAGUAUUCACCCCAAAUACUUGGCUCAGGUUUGUUUUAUUAAUAAGAACUUUUAAGAUUCAUGCUACAUGACAUCAUGAAAUAUAGUUUGUGGUAGGAGUUACUAAAAAAUAUGCAAUAUGCUGAGUAAGUGAUAAAUGCUUUGAUAAAAUAGAAAUGCAAAAAGAAAGUGAAACAAGGUUUUCAAUAGUCUUUUUUUUUUUAAUCUUUUACUGGAAGGUUUUUUGUUUGUUUGUUUUGAGAUAGGGGCUCACAUAGCCUAGGCUGUACUAGAACUUAAAAUGUAAUUGGUAAUGACCUUAAACUUCUGAUCCUCAUGCUUUAGCCUCCCAGGAGCUGGAGUCACACCAUGCCCGGUCUCUGCAAUACUGCGAAUUGAGUCCAGGGCUUUGCAUCUCUAAGCAAGUACUUCACCGAUUGAGCUCUAGCUCUAGCCUUGUAGUUUAAAAGGGGCUCUAUUAAUUGUUUGAGAAUUUCGUACAAUGAAUUUUGUACCUUUUCUCCCAACUCCCCCCAGGUCCACUCAUACCUCCCUGCUCACUUCUGGUCCUUUGGUUUUGUAACAAUUUGUGCAGCCUAAAUAAUCUUGGGUAUGGAGCCACUCCUUGGAAUGUGGUCAAAGUACCAGGGAUCACACCCUGGAAAGAAACUGGUUGUCCCUCUCCCCAUGUGGAAAACAAAAGGAAGAAGAGCAACCAGCAGAAGAGACUCAUGGAAACUAAUGAGGUCAGAAGGAACUGAAGUCACAGAAGCAUAAUGAAAGAUGUUUCCAGAAGAGCCUCUAUGAGGCUAUAUGAUUCCUUUGUGAAAACCAAAGAAGCAAAAAGUCCUGUCUCUUUCUCAAGUAAAAAUAAUUACUUUAUAUGGUGCCAGGGAUUGAACAGAGCUCAAUUUUUGAAAGCUAGGCAAGUAAUCAACUGCUACUGAACUGUAUCCCUAGCCAGUAGGUGUCAAUUUUCAGGCAGUAUAAUUCGUUUAGCACCAUUAAUAAAUUUUUCUUGAACACCAUUGCUCAACUUUUGCUGAUUAAUUUCUAAUGUUAUUUAGUGCUUACAGGAGCACAUGUGAUUGGAUGACUCGUAUUUUCUGUGGUCAUGACUUUGAAAACUGGGUGUUGAGACUCUCCAAAUGCUUCUCAGGAAACUAAGGAAACAGGAAUGGGGUGUAGGGGAGUGUCAGUUGACUGUAGCAUGUUCAAAUCACUAGUCUAAACUCAACCCCACCUCCAGAAUUGAAGAUAUAUAUCCUCAAAUAUUUGACAGAUUCCAUAGUAGAGAUGUUGAACUUGUAUUGUAUGAACCUGAAAGGAAGAACUUAGAACUUGCUCAUAUUUCAUCCACAAAAGAAAAUGUUGAUAUUUUCAGUUGUGCAAAUAUCAUUAAGACAAUAUCAAAGCACUUCUGUGAUCUAUUCUUCAGAGAAGUCUGAGUUGGCAAUUAUUUACCAAUAAACAUGAAAUAAGAUGUUUCCCA